GAUGAACGCUGGCGGCGUGCCUAACACAUGCAAGUCGAGCGAUUUACUUCGGUAAAGAGCGGCGGACGGGUGAGUAACGCGUGGGUAACCUGCCCUGUACACACGGAUAACAUACUGAAAGGUAUGCUGAUACGGGAUAACAUAAGAGAGUCGCAUGGCUUUCUUAUCAAAGCUUUUGCGGUACAGGAUGGACCCGCGUCUGAUUAGCUAGUUGGUAAGGUAACGGCUUACCAAGGCGACGAUCAGUAGCCGACCUGAGAGGGUGAUCGGCCACAUAGGAACUGAGACACGGUCCAAACUACUACGGGAGGCAGCAGUGGGGAAUAUUGCACAAUGGGCGAAAGCCUGAUGCAGCAACGCCGCGUGAGCGAUGAAGGCCUUCGGGUCGUAAAGCUCUGUCCUCAAGGAAGAUAAUGACGGUACUUGAGGAGGAAGCCCCGGCUAACUACGUGCCAGCCGCCGCGGUAA
rnacentral:rRNA from 1 species